rnacentral:rRNA from 1 species
ACUCCUACGGGAGGCAGCAGUGGGGAAUUUUGCGCAAUGGGGGAAACCCUGACGCAGCAACGCCGCGUGAGUGAUGAAGGCCUUCGGGUCGUAAAGCUCUGUCAGAGGGGAAGAAAUGCAGGGGUGCUAAUACCAUUUCUGCUUGACGGUACCCUCAAAGGAAGCACCGGCUAACUCCGUGCCAGCAGCCGCGGUAAUACGGAGGGUGCGAGCGUUGUUCGGACUUAUUGGGCGUAAAGCGCGUGUAGGCGGCUCCUUAAGUCUGAUGUGAAAGCCCCGGGCUCAACCUGGGAAGUGCAUUGGAAACUGGGGAACUUGAAUACGGGAGAGGGUAGUGGAAUUCCUAGUGUAGGAGUGAAAUCCGUAGAUAUUAGGAGGAACACCGGUGGCGAAGGCGGCUACCUGGACCGAUAUUGACGCUGAGACGCGAAAGCGUGGGGAGCAAACAGGAUUAGAUACCCUGGUAGUCCACGCCGUAAACGAUGAGAACUAGGUGUCGCGGGUA